UGGCUCAGUGGUAGAGCGCUUGCCUCUCAUGCAUGAGGCCCUGGGUUCAAUUCCUCAG
rnacentral:tRNA from 1 species